rnacentral:rRNA from 1 species
AGAACGAACGCUGGCGGCAGGCUUAACACAUGCAAGUCGAACGGUUGUAGCAAUACAGCAGUGGCAGACGGGUGAGUAACACGUGGGAACCUUCCUAGGGGUACGGAACAACUCAGGGAAACUUGAGCUAAUACCGUAUACGUCCGUGAGGAGAAAGAUUUAUCGCCCCUAGACGGGCCCGCGUAGGAUUAGGUAGUUGGUGAGGUAACGGCUCACCAAGCCUACGAUCCUUAGCUGAUCUGAGAGGAUGAUCAGCCACACUGGGACUGAGACACGGCCCAGACUCCUACGGGAGGCAGCAGUGGGGAAUCUUGGACAAUGGGCGCAAGCCUGAUCCAGCCAUGCCGCGUGAGUGAAGAAGGCCUUGGGUUGUAAAGCUCUUUUACCAGGACGAUAAUGACGGUACUGGAGAAUAAGCCCCGGACAAACUUCGUGCCAGCAGCCGC